CUAUCGACAGGCUUAACACAUGCAAGUCGAGGGGCAGCACAGGUAGCAAUACCGGGUGGCGACCGGCGCACGGGUGAGUAACGCGUAUGCAACUUACCUAUCAGAGGGGGAUAACCCGGCGAAAGUCGGACUAAUACCGCAUGAAGCAGGGGCCCCGCAUGGGGAUAUUUGCUAAAGAUUCAUCGCUGAUAGAUAGGCAUGCGUUCCAUUAGGCAGUUGGCGGGGUAACGGCCCACCAAACCGACGAUGGAUAGGGGUUCUGAGAGGAAGGUCCCCCACAUUGGUACUGAGACACGGACCAAACUCCUACGGGAGGCAGCAGUGAGGAAUAUUGGUCAAUGGCCGAGAGGCUGAACCAGCCAAGUCGCGUGAGGGAUGAAGGUUCUAUGGAUCGUAAACCUCUUUUAUAAGGGAAUAAAGUGCGGGACGUGUCCCGUUUUGUAUGUACCUUAUGAAUAAGGAUCGGCUAACUCCGUGCCAGCAGCCGCGGUAAUACGGAGGAUCCGAGCGUUAUCCGGAUUUAUUGGGUUUAAAGGGUGCGUAGGCGGCCUUUUAAGUCAGCGGUGAAAGUCUGUGGCUCAACCAUAGAAUUGCCGUUGAAACUGGGGGGCUUGAGUACGUUUGAGGCAGGCGGAAUGCGUGGUGUAGCGGUGAAAUGCAUAGAUAUCACGCAGAACCCCGAUUGCGAAGGCAGCCUGCCAAGCCAUUACUGACGCUGAUGCACGAAAGCGUGGGGAUCAAACAGGAUUAGAUACCCUGGUAGUCCACGCAGUAAACGAUGAUCACUAGCUGUUUGCGAUACACUGUAAGCGGCACAGCGAAAGCGUUAAGUGAUCCACCUGGGGAGUACGCCGGCAACGGUGAAACUCAAAGGAAUUGACGGGGGCCCGCACAAGCGGAGGAACAUGUGGUUUAAUUCGAUGAUACGCGAGGAACCUUACCCGGGUUUGAACGCAUUCGGACCGAGGUGGAAACACCUUUUCUAGCAAUAGCCGUUUGCGAGGUGCUGCAUGGUUGUCGUCAGCUCGUGCCGUGAGGUGUCGGCUUAAGUGCCAUAACGAGCGCAACCCUUGCCACUAGUUACUAACAGGUAAAGCUGAGGACUCUGGUGGGACUGCCAGCGUAAGCUGCGAGGAAGGCGGGGAUGACGUCAAAUCAGCACGGCCCUUACAUCCGGGGCGACACACGUGUUACAAUGGCGUGGACAAAGGGAAGCCACCUGGCGACAGGGAGCGAAUCCCCAAACCACGUCUCAGUUCGGAUCGGAGUCUGCAACCCGACUCCGUGAAGCUGGAUUCGCUAGUAAUCGCGCAUCAGCCAUGGCGCGGUGAAUACGUUCCCGGGCCUUGUACACACCGCCCGUCAAGCCAUGGGAGCCGGGGGUACCUGAAGUCCGUAACCGCGAGGAUCGGCCUAGGGUAAAACUGGUGACUG
rnacentral:rRNA from 1 species